rnacentral:rRNA from 1 species
UACGUAGGGACCAAGCGUUGUUCGGAUUUACUGGGCGUAAAGGGCGCGUAGGCGGCAAUUCAAGUCAUCUGUGAAAUCUCCGAGCUUAACUCGGAACGGUCAGAUGAUACUGUUUUGCUAGAGUACAGAAGGGGCAAUCGGAAUUCUUGGUGUAGCGGUGAAAUGCGUAGAUAUCAAGAGGAACACCUGAGGUGAAGACGGGUUGCUGGGCUGAUGACUGACGCUGGAAGCGCGAAAGCUAGGGUAGCAAACGGG